CAGGGAGACAAUAAAUUGAUUGUGAUGUCUAAGUUAUUUAUUCUUAGGCCGCAAUCCUGUCACCUUAAGGUCGAUCGGUACCUCAGAUUUUGAAUUAGUUUUACAAUUGAUUCUUUGAUUUCAGUUCCUAAACUUGUCUAGGUCACACCCAACAAAGGUUUCUCCUGGGCCAUUAGCUCAGGUGGUUAGAGCGCACCCCUGAUAAGGGUGAGGUCCCUGGUUCAAGUCCAGGAUGGCCCAUUCGUUGUUGGGGGUAUAGCUCAGUUGGUAGAGCGCCUGCUUUGCAAGCAGGAUGUCAGCGGUUCGAGUCCGCUUACCUCCACUGAAAACUAUCCUGAUAACUAAAUUUCUGGAGAAAAAAAUUGUAGAUGUGGCUUAGAAUUGUCUAUUUGAAAAGAACCUAGCUUCUUGUCAUCUUUUUAUAGUUGAUAAAAUGCUGGGCUCGCAUGGAUUAUUUCCAUGAGAAUUCAGUAGAACCUUGAAAACUGCAUAGAUUAGAAAGAAUAAAGCAUCUCAUGGAUGCAUAGUUCUGUUUUUAUAAUUUAGCCUUAAAACUAAAUUAUUUAAUUCUAGAAUUCAUGUUUAAUUCUUGAGUAAUAGCCGAGCACAAUUGAUUUUGUGAUUGUAUUAAA
rnacentral:tRNA from 1 species